ensembl:lncRNA
UCUGUGAUAAAAUACCUUUUAUUUCACAAAAAUACAGUCGAAGUAACAAAUCAGCUUAUUGUGUUGAACAGAAAAGUAAAAGAUUCUAUGCACAGUACUUUAAAUCAUGGACUUCUUUUUCUACUACUCGACAAGACACCAGUAGUCCACGGUCAGACAUACAUUUUUUUUACGGAUAAAAGGCAAAGAGAGAUUGGGUCCAAAACAGCUUUGGUGCCAUUGAACGGGCCUGCAGAACCCUUGUCCUGAGGCUUGCUCGAGUGUGCAAAGCCAAUUCUUCUCUCGUCAACAUCUCUCAAUUUGGUGAUGUCAAGACUACUGAGGAGGGUUGGUGGAGAAACUGGGGCUCCAUUUAGGGAGAUGAACACAACAACAACAAUAAAAUGUCAGAGAAACCAAAAAAAAAAAAAGAACCACAUUACUGUUGUCAGUGUUAGUUGAGUCUUUUUUUGGCAACCAUGGUGAUGUUCUAAUCCAGGUGUGGACUUUUAGUCACGUGGGGGGGGGAUAAAUACCACCUAGGCUGUACCUCAUUGAGCCGUGAACUUGUUCAAACCUGUUUCAAAUCCCCGUCUCGGUCGGUCUCCACAGACUUCAGGAGAGGCUGAAGCUGCGGUUUUUUUGGGAAACAGAUUUCUGCACAUCUCUGCUUUCCCUCCCCCUUUUGUCUCCGUCUCCGUCUCCGUGUCUCAGAUGCCGGUUUCAUAACUCUAAACAAUGGAACAUUCUACCAAACAAUGCCUGCAUCUCAAUGACUGGGAGUGUGUGACUGGGGGAUUCAAUUACAACGGAAAAAACAUCUAAAUGACUGGUUGCAGAAAUGGUUUAUAAGAAACUAUAAAAAAUGUGGAGAGAAUGUGGCUCGGCAUUGUUGGCCCUGUGGGAGCACCCAUUUGCUAGGUGGAAUGACAGCACACACACACACACACACACACACACAGUCUAUUCUUACGCAAUCCAACAAUUUCUCUGACUCAAGUUGACACACCACCGUUAGUGACUCAAAGACCGCCCAUGUGACAUAUCCCACUGGAAUACACACCAACACCAUCCAGUCCACUUAACUUUGCCAUCCGUUCACAACAACUCCGCCGGGGAAAAACUACACACACACACCACACACUGUGCCUACGGUAACAUCAAAGUGUGCAAAACAAGCCAAAAAAACAUCUUUAUUAUGCAUUAACUUUACACUUUAGUGUCUCUGAGUUCAUAAAUGAACAAAUAGAAAUAAGAUCUCAAAAUACUACUUUAGGUUCUGUCCAACAUAAAAAAGGAAAAGGUGGGAAAAGCAAGGAUGAGUUGAAACAAACGCAACUCAACUUCAGUGAAUACUGAGCUGCCACAACAUCCGCCAUCAGCUACACAGCUAACCUGCACAAAGCUCUUCAUAUUUGGAGUUUCACUGACAAGAAUCAGUCCUGGAGUCCAACUGCAACAAACACUGACUGCUGCCAAUUACUGCAGUCAGCAAUAGAGUCAGUCAGUCAGUCAGUCAGUCAGUCAGUCACACACACAGUCAGUCAGUCAGUCAGUCAGUCAGUCAGUCAGUCAGUCAGUCAGUCAGUCAGUCAGUCAGUCAGUCAGUCAGUCCACACUCGACUCGAGGCAGUCAGUAAAAAUGCAGAAAAGAGCGGAAGGUCACGGAGAACACACGGCAUCAACACACACACACACACACACACACACACACACACACACACACACGGCAUCAACAUGCACAUUCUCUCUGUCUGGCCAGCUGCACUCAGGAAGGAAAUACAGAAUGCAUCUCAGUCGUGGACACGCAACACGCAUCGCAUCUCAGUCACGGACACACACCGCAUCCAGCAGCCUCUCACAGGCUUCCAGCAGCCUCGCACACGCAUCCACCACACGCACACGCUUCCAGCAGCCUCGCACACGCAUCCAGCACACGCUUCCAGCAGCCUGUCAGUCUAAGCUCUUCAGUCAACGAGAAGGUGAAAUAUGACGCUUGAUGAGAAAACGACGAGGAAUAAACACUAAAUGUGUGAACUCGCCUGACCUUUGACCUCUGUCGAGAUGGGGCUGACCUGCUGGCACUCUUUGAGUUUAACUGCAUUUGAAAUGCACGAGAGGACCACUGCCAUCACAGGAAAUGUCCAAGCUGAAAUGACUGAGAUUAAGGGCCUGGCCUACUGGCACAGGGUACGAGUGCCUGGUCUGGCAAAUGACUGUUUUUGAGUAUGCUCAAAGAGUAUGCACACUAAAUGACUUGUCUGCAGAGGGGCUUUUUGAGUAUGCACACUAAAUGACUGUCUGCAGAGGGGCUUUUUGAGUAUGCUCAAAGAGUAUGGACACUAAAUGACUGUCUGCAGAGGGGCUUUUUGAGUAUGUUCAAAGAGUAUGGACACUAAAUGACUGUCUGCAGAGGGGCUUUUUGAGUAUGCACACUAAAUGACUGUCUGUAGAGGGGCUUUUUGAGUAUGCUCAAAGAGUAUGCACACUAAAUGACUGUCUGUCUGCAGAGGGGCUUUUU